CCUACGGGUGGCUGCAGUGGGGAAUAUUGCACAAUGGGGGAAACCCUGAUGCAGCGACGCCGCGUGAGCGAAGAAGUAUUUCGGUAUGUAAAGCUCUAUCAGCAGGGAAGAAAAUGACGGUACCUGAGUAAGAAGCUCCGGCUAAAUACGUGCCAGCAGCCGCGGUAAUACGUAUGGAGCAAGCGUUAUCCGGAUUUACUGGGCGUAAAGGGAGCGUAGGCGGCCUGCCAAGUCUGAUGUGAAAUACCGGGGCUCAACCCCGGGGCUGCAUUGGAAACUGGCAGGCUGGAGUGCCGGAGAGGCAGGCGGAAUUCGUAGUGUAGCGGUGAAAUGCGUAGAUAUUAGGAAGAACACCAGUGGCGAAGGCGACUUACUGGACUGUAACUGACGCUGAGGCAUGAGAGCAUGGGGAGCAAACAGGAUUAGAUACCCGAGUAGUC
rnacentral:rRNA from 1 species